AGUAAUGAGGAGGAGCCUGACUCCCCUGAAGAUUCAGCAAUGCCAAAUCACCUUGUCUCCUCUUGAGCCAGGCAGAGCCCGCGAUGACGGCGGCGGCCUCCGAGCGUGGCCGUAGCGUGCGGCCCGAGGAGCCGGGCGUUCUUAGCAGAAGGCUGACCAAGAGACCAGAGACCGGUGACUGCGGAAAAUUCCCAGCGGGUGAGGCGGCCUUCCUUGGCAGCGGAGGCGGAUUGUCAUCCCCGGACGUCCAAGAGAUAAGUGGAGGGUUACGAGCCCCCUGAGAGGGGGACGAAAGCGAGGUGCUGGGAGGGCCUUUGGAGUGGCAGCUUUGGAGGCGGGGUUGUGCAGGAGGUGGCCCCUUCGGCCACGUAAAGGAAGAGUUACCCGGUGCUGAGGUGCUCAGGGCAGAGCAGUCCCGGUGCGUGUCACUUGUGUCACUUGUCUAUGGUGCCUUCUGUGUGUAUCGUGCCUUCUGUGUCUUUUGCCUCGUGCCCCACAAAGGAUUAUCCGAAGCCCAGGUGUCCAUCUUUGCCACUGAGAUCUCUGUGUUCCUCGGCCCAGUGCGUAUUCCUUCAAAGCCUUGACUCAGGAGGCUGGACAGGCAACGGCGUAGCAUCUCUCUUAAGACAUCUGACCGGAUGGUUCUAUUCAGGUCUUGUUCUGAGCUGUUCUCGACAGCUGUGCAUGGCAACGAUCCCUCCCUUCUAGCUGGUUAGGACUUGUACAAAUUCCAGGAUAGGGGGAGAUUCUGACCGUAGGAUUCUGGGGCACCCAUCUUUGCCCCGCUUGCGAUAAGUCCUUCUGUUAGCGUCUUUGUUCCUCCAGGAUUCUCUGAGCCUGACGGGCUCACUGUCGCUCUCACCCAGGUCAUCUGGUCCCGCCUUCUCUGGGCCCUGGCUGGCAUUCUUCUCGCCGAGAGCUUUCUCUCCCUGUUGUGUCCCCUCGUUUGUCUUGUUCUGUGUCACGGGUGUCUGGGUAUUGGGCCCGAAGCUGCUCUGCCCUGCUGCACAGCCUGGUGUAGGUAUCAUAGGACGAGUCCUGGGGCCUGGGGAGUUGUAAUGCAGGGUGUAGCUGGACUCUAGAUGGCAUUUGUCGAUUGACACAAGAUGUCUGGAAGGCCUAAGUUAUCCUGCAGCCCUCUGACCCCUGUCCUCCCAUUCUUUCAGGUGCUGGCAGAUGAAAUCCGUGGCGGAGCGCCCCGUGGCGGGUGAGUGGUUCCCCUGAGCAGGACAUAAAGCCGAACCUGAGGAGUCAAGGCGGUCCACGGGUAUCACGCCGAGACCCCGUCAGCGAGUGGCCGACAGACCCGGUUCGUCGCUCUCGUGGGAACUCGCUAAGCGGUACGGGGCUCUGUGAUGGUGCCGUG